CUGGCCAGGGCGGUGGGCGGGGUGGGGUCCGACCCAGUCUUCGGUGGAGGGAGGGAGCCGGGAGUGACUCUGCGGUUCUCUGCUUGGGGCGGAGACCUGGAUGCGUCCUUGUUGAAGACCAGCGGGGUGGUGGACUGGCCGCGUCAUACACUAGCCUCUCCUUCCAGUACCCUGCUGCAGUUCCGGGCUUUGGCACUAGGAGCACAGGCAAGCAGUCUUGAUCUCUCUUCUCCCACAUCCACGGGCCCACCAGCUUCCAGAAAGUGGCAGAGCUGAGUGCCCCAGCCAGUGGGUAGCCAUGUGCUACCUAACUUGCCUCUAAUCUGCUCCGCAGUGGCUCCUUGGUGUGGGGGGAAACAAGAAGAGGCAGCAGAGAAGAAAAGGCACAGCUAAGGGGUGUCAGGUUGCCUCCAUUCACUCAUUCAACAAAAACUUGCUUUGUGCCUGGCCUCUUGCUAUGUGCUAGUCAUAGAGAUAAGUAAAAGUACAGUACUGCUCUUGACUGUCAUAGUACAACAGGGAUGAUGAGCCAAUAAAUAGAUAAUUAAUGCUAGAAAAGAGGUUGAUGGGUUUGUUCAAAAGGUUGAGUAUUUGUUUACCCAAUACACAAAUGAGUGCACUCUCUGUGCCAGGCACUGUUCCAUGUUCUAGGGCACAGCAGGGGCAAACCCACAGAUGUGGCCGCAGCGAAGUAUGGAGGAGCAGAGAACAAAUAACUGCAAAACCUGGCAGGAAGUAGGGACGAGUGUUGGAGGUGAGUGUGGAGUCCUAAAUAACAGAACUGCGAGAGUUCCGGUGCGACUGCGAUUGGGUUUCCCUCUUCCACCCUCGUUGGCCAUCGGAAUUCGUUCCUUUAUGGGGCCCAUGGACUCUACUUUGCUAAAGUGGAAGGCUUUUGGUCAGAGUCACCGCCAUCCUGCUUUAACGGGUAGCCCCCCGGCAUAAUGACUAAAAGCGCCCCUUUUGCUCUCAAAAGCGUCCAGGUUUGCUCGCUAGACUGUGUGGCCAGGCUACUCUUGCCUAACUUCCCUGCCAGGUGCAAAGAACUGUACCCUCACCAGCCCCUACCGAGGACUCUGUGGGCCUGGAGUGCCCCAGAAUAUGGUGACUGGUUUUGUCCAAGAUAACCACCCGUCACUUCAGGAUCUCGCUUCUCCCGCCCGUAACGUGCAGCCGGGAGCCGCUCUCACCACCAGGGGCGCUGCCCCAUAGGCUAGGAAGCAGUCCCCAGCCUUUUUGGCACCAGGUACUAUUUCGUGGAAGACAAUUUUUCCAUGCACCGGGAUUAGCAGUGUGGAGGGGGAUGAUUUCGGGAUGAUUCAAGCGCAUUUCAUUCAAGCUCAUCUCCUGCUGUGCAGCUGGUUCCUAACAGGCCUCAGACAGGUCGAGCUUGGAAGGUGCAGGAGUUAGGCGUUAGGCAGGAGGUUUCCUCCCUAGGAAAAGUGAUCCCAGCCAGGGAGCUGCCCGGCUCCUUGUUUGAGGCUCCACCCCAGAUCACCUGUUAUCUGCACUAGGGAAACACAGGUCCAGCCAAAGGUCAGAUAACCAUAAAAGACAUUUACUGAGUACUGGUAGUGUUCCAAGCACCAAACUACAGUAAGUUCCUAAUAAUCAUUGUUAUUUCAUUUUGGGCACACACACUAUUGCUAUGAAGUAGGCACUGCUCUUUUCCCCACGUUACAAAAAUAAAAACUGAAGUUCGAUUGUGGAGCAGCUUGUCCAAGGUCCUGUGGCCAGGAAGUGGGAAGCCAGGAGGCAAUAUUCAAAUCCAGGCACAUUGCCCAUGCCCCCAGUGCAAACUGAGAGAAGAGGGCAGGGGUCCAGCUGAUUCCUCAGAUCUGGACUGUGCAGAGAGAGUGUGCUCCCUGCAUGGAGCCCAUUAGCAUGGUGGUUUGUGUCUCCCAGAUGCAGAGUUCUUCCAGCCAUCUCCUCACUGUUUCCAAAGCCUCCCUAUUGGGCUCCACUGCUCUCUGGGAUGUGUGGGGUGGGGCCUAACUGGGUUUUGCUUGCUGCAGACACAGUACAUACUCCCUGUUGAGGUGAUUACAGCAGUAUUCUUCCACAUACUCAUUACUAAAUACUUAGGCUAGACUUUUGAAUAAGAACCACAGACCACAGUGCUCUUAUCCCUGCCCAGUAACUCUAGCUGUGACAUUGCACAUCUGAUGCUCUUAGCUUUGGUUUCCUCAUCUACAGAAAUAGAUACAAUAAUUACCUAGGAGGUCUGUUUGGAAGAGUAAAUGAGGUGGUCUAGUAGAAAGCUCGCUGCUACAGCAGGAUGUCUAACAGAGCACGGGCUCCAUAACUCUAAAUGUGGCUUUAAUCUGACAGCCACUCUCCAGUCCACCUCUCCCUGGACCUGUACAACUCCCCCUCAAAACUGCUAUGGUUUUUCUUAUUCUCGCCCCUUACUGGCACCUAAUUAUGAAGUGUGGGCAUUAUGCUUUUAUAUAACAGAAGCUGACUAUGGGAAAUAACUUGAACUUUGUUGAGCAAAGGGAUACAAAGGUGCCUUAGGGAACUCACAGCUGCAGGCAGAUCCACUAGUUCCUACCCCUCACAAACCAGGCAGUAGUUGCCAUAGGACAGAUAAAGGCUGACUGCUGGGCCAGGGAGAAAGAGGUUUGGUAUGCAAAAGCAGGCAAAUUUGACCUAGGACUUGAA